CAUGGUUACGGCGGGGCGAUGGGGUGUCCGUCCACCUCUUGAGCGAUGACGAUGAUGGUCAUGAUGGUGAUGAUGCUUGUUUACCUCCUUCUCGCGAGUAGUGACUCUAUGAGAUCAAGAAAGGGGAAUGGGAGUAGAGGUGGUGCAGGUCCUCGAGAGAGGAAGGGAACAGGAACAGAAUGAGCGAUGAUGGAGUUGAUUCUAUCGCUCGCUCGCUCUCUCUCUCUCUUUCUCGGAGCUGCGUUUGUGUGGGUAAUUUAAGCCGGACACUAGCAGCCAUUUGGGGCCGGUUGUUUUCGCGCAUUUACGCCCUGUUUUUGUUGUUGUUUUUACGCGCUCGCUUUACGUUUCGUUUUGCCUUCCUGCUUUCUUAUUAGUUAAGGGUGUGUUUCGGUUAUUUUUGCACGAAGGCAGACAGAGAGAGAGAGAGAGAGAGGCAGAGUGUGCAUUAAUGGAGGAACUGAGUCUAGCGCGAGUUCGGCAUACGAUGGACGAUGUGGGGCUUGUCACGUAUUCGUAUGUACAGUAACGGACGGGUUGACAAUCGUAGUAGCCAAGAGUUGUGUCAGAAGUGUCCAAACGUCUUGGAGCACGAGUGCGUAUGCACUAAGAAAGAGAGAAAGAGAGCAAGAGAGAGAGAGAGAGAGAGAGCGAGAAAGCGUGCUGGUGAUUAUCAAAACAACACUUUGGCAAAACUGUCGAGAUAGCUUGGCGUCAAGGCCGUUGCUUUUGGGGUGUGUUGUUUUUCUCUCUGUAGGAUGGGGAUAGAGGGGGAGUAUAUGCAGGGGUGACACUGCGAGAUAUAAUAAAAAGCAGACAAAAAAAAUGGAGCACAUUCUCGGGGUAAUGGAAGAUAAAUGUUAUUAGCGCGUUAUAAUCGAAAUGGAAUGCGUUUUCCUCCCAUUCCUUUUUUAAAUACACAGACACAGGCAGAAGGUUUAUAAACCUUCCCAAAUUGCAGUGGAGUGUAGGAACCCCAUACCUGUGUUUUUUCUUCAAUUGUCGCGAAAUCGAAAAAAAAAAAUGCUACACACAAGCCGGGCACGUAGGAAGCAACCAAUUUGCCGAUCGCUCUUCGACCGCUUUUCUUCAUCCCAAGCGCGCUGGAAUGAUGUAUCGGGAAAAGCAGGCGCAGCAAAAGGAUUUAAGUUCACAGCAAUGGCGAAAAAGCUGAAGUAGCAGUAGGCUGUGGGAUACACAUGUAUGGCGAUGUGUGUGUGUGUGUGUGUGUGUGUGUGUAUGCUGUGCCAUGCCGUCUGUGGUACAUGGAGAGCCACGUGUUUGCACAGGAAAUUGAAUGGCAAAUAUUGUGACAGUGAAGUGGGAAAAGCUUAGAUAAAAGAUGCUGCCAGCACGCAGGGACAGAGAUGGAUAGAGGGAGGAAGAAAAGGGUGGUGUAGAAAAAAAUGUGGCGCGAAAAAACAAGAGCGAAGAGAGAAGCGCGUUUUUUUUUUUUUUGCAAAAAAGUCAUUCGGGUGAUGGAAUUGAUGGAGAGGAAACGGCGUCAUGGCACACAUGGCUUCAAUCACAUCGCAUUGGGAUGAGGAAUUGACCAACCCGAGAGAAAGGGCAUGGCAAAAAGGAAAGGAGGAAAAAUAGGCGUACGCGAAAACAAAGCGCACAGUUGUCGCAACAUACUACCGAACAAGAGGAAAAUCCUGUCCGGCGGGCUAUACACACGAUUCCGCUGGAGGGUAGGGAAGACUGCAACGCGACCAGCCCAAAAUGUCACCCCGAGAUGAGGUCGCUAAAAUCAACACGCACACACACACACACGCUAGAUUCCAGCUGGCACUACAUGUGCUCCGUUCACCUAGCCGGGAUGGCGCGGUCCUGCUGUUAAGCAAUUCUGAUUAAUUCCAGAGUUUAUACACGCUUUUGAGCCAAGUUUGGAUGCAUCUAAUCCGGAUCAUUACGGGCAACUAACCUCGACUCCAAAUGAGUGACGGCGACUCCAGAUGAACGAGGAGUUUCAACAAUUUCGAGAAUAGAGCAUCUUGCGGACUUAUUUGAACCCAUCCAGAGUUGUCCAGACCCAUCUUGAUCCGCCCGGACUGAAAUGCACUCGCCCAGAGUUCGGGAGUGUUCGGGAGUCAUCCUAAUUCAAUCGGAAUCGUACAGAGUUUGAGUUUUGAAGUUGUCAGGAUUCAUCCAGAGUUAUCUAAACUCACUAAAAAACAUCAAGAGUCGACUGGAUUCGCCCAGAGCCAACCGGAAUCAUUUGGAGUUUUCCAGAGCCAUCCGAACUUCCUGAAACCUGGAUUUCACCAAAGUAAAUCUGAGCCAACCGGAGUCACCCAAAGCCAUGCGGAGUCUUCCGGAGUGGCACGGUGUCGUCUGGAAUAGUUAGGACUCAACAAGAAAUGUUUAAAAUUCUCUUAGUGAGGUCGGGAUUUUGCCAAAAUCGUCCGAAAUCGUCCGGAGUCAUCUGGAAUUUUCCGGACUCAUCCGAACUCGCCCGGAAUCUCCCGGUAUCGUCUGGAUCCUUCAUUAUUCGUCCUGAUUCUUGCUAAGAUUUGGUCCAAAUUACGAAAUUGGUUUUGAUUCCGAAAAUCAUAAGAGUGAAUUCAAGUCUUUAAUCUGGAUUAAACUCCACAAAAUUUUGCUGAACGUCAAUUAUCCGCAAAUCAUUUUUUUUUGUUAUAGAAAUAUACGAUAUAAAA